UACGGAGGGUGCAAACGUUGCUCGGAAUCAUUGGGCGUAAAGCGCACGUAGGCGGACCGCUAAGUCGGAUGUGAAAGCCCUCGGCUUAACCCGAGGAAGUGCAUUCGAAACUGACAGUCUUGAGUAUGGAAGAGGGUCGCGGAAUUCCCGGUGUAGAGGUGAAAUUCGUAGAUAUCGGGAGGAACACCAGUGGCGAAGGCGGCGACCUGG
rnacentral:rRNA from 1 species